AGGUCUCAGUUCAGAUUGCAGGCUGNAACCCGCCCUGCAUGAAGUCGGAAUUGCUAGUAAUCGCGGAUCAGCAUGCCGCGGUGAAUACGUUCCCGGGCCUUGUACACACCGCCCGUCACACCAUGGGAGCCGGUAAUACCCGAAGUCAGUAGUCCAACCUCGUGAGGACGCUGCCGAAGGUAGGAUUGGCGACUGGGGUGAAGUCGUAACAAGGUAGC
rnacentral:rRNA from 1 species